CAGGCUUAACACAUGCAAGUCGAGGGGCAGCAUGGUCUUAGCUUGCUAAGGCCGAUGGCGACCGGCGCACGGGUGAGUAACACGUAUCCAACCUGCCGUCUACUCUUGGACAGCCUUCUGAAAGGAAGAUUAAUACAAGAUGGCAUCAUGAGUCCGCAUGUUCACAUGAUUAAAGGUAUUCCGGUAGACGAUGGGGAUGCGUUCCAUUAGAUAGUAGGCGGGGUAACGGCCCACCUAGUCUUCGAUGGAUAGGGGUUCUGAGAGGAAGGUCCCCACAUUGGAACUGAGACACGGUCCAAACUCCUACGGGAGGCAGCAGUGAGGAAUAUUGGUCAAUGGGCGAGAGCCUGAACCAGCCAAGUAGCGUGAAGGAUGACUGCCCUAUGGGUUGUAAACUUCUUUUAUAAAGGAAUAAAGUCGGGUAUGGAUACCCGUUUGCAUGUACUUUAUGAAUAAGGAUCGGCUAACUCCGUGCCAGCAGCCGCGGUAAUACGGAGGAUCCGAGCGUUAUCCGGAUUUAUUGGGUUUAAAGGGAGCGUAGAUGGAUGUUUAAGUCAGUUGUGAAAGUUUGCGGCUCAACCGUAAAAUUGCAGUUGAUACUGGAUAUCUUGAGUGCAGUUGAGGCAGGCGGAAUUCGUGGUGUAGCGGUGAAAUGCUUAGAUAUCACGAAGAACUCCGAUUGCGAAGGCAGCCUGCUAAGCUGCAACUGACAUUGAGGCUCGAAAGUGUGGGUAUCAAACAGGAUUAGAUACCCUGGUAGUCCACACGGUAAACGAUGAAUACUCGCUGUUUGCGAUAUACAGCAAGCGGCCAAGCGAAAGCGUUAAGUAUUCCGCCUGGGGAGUACGCCGGCAACGGUGAAACUCAAAGGAAUUGACGGGGGCCCGCACAAGCGGAGGAACAUGUGGUUUAAUUCGAUGAUACGCGAGGAACCUUACCCGGGCUUAAAUUGCAGAUGAAUUACGGUGAAAGCCGUAAGCCGCAAGGCAUAUGUGAAGGUGCUGCAUGGUUGUCGUCAGCUCGUGCCGUGAGGUGUCGGCUUAAGUGCCAUAACGAGCGCAACCCUUGUUGUCAGUUACUAACAGGUUCUGCUGAGGACUCUGACAAGACUGCCAUCGUAAGAUGUGAGGAAGGUGGGGAUGACGUCAAAUCAGCACGGCCCUUACGUCCGGGGCUACACACGUGUUACAAUGGGGGGUACAGAGGUCCGCUACCACGCGAGUGGAUGCCAAUCCCCAAAACCUCUCUCAGUUCGGAUUGGAGUCUGCAACCCGACUUCACGAAGCUGGAUUCGCUAGUAAUCGCGCAUCAGCCACGGCGCGGUGAAUACGUUCCCGGGCCUUGUACACACCGCCCGUCAAGCCAUGGGAGCCGGGGGUACCUGAAGUGCGUAACCGCGAGGAGCGCCCUAGGGUAAAACUGGUGACUGGGGC
rnacentral:rRNA from 1 species